UGGGGAAUAUUGCGCAAUGGACGAAAGUCUGACGCAGCGACGCCGCGUGUGGGAGGAAGCUCUUCGGGGUGUAAACCACUGUCAGGAGGGAGGAACGGCGCCGGUUCGAACAGUUCCGGCGAUUGACGGUACCUCCAAAGGAAGCGCCGGCUAACUCCGUGCCAGCAGCCGCGGUAAGACGGAGGGCGCAAGCGUUGUUCGGAAUUACUGGGCGUAAAGCGCGGGCAGGCGGUCUGUUAAGUCGUUUGUGAAAAUCCGGGGCUCAACCCCGGAAAUGCAUACGAUACUGGCAGGCUGGAGACUGGUAGAGGCUAGCGGAAUUCCUGGUGUAGCGGUGGAAUGCGUAGAUAUCAGGAAGAACACCUGUGGCGAAGGCGGCUAGCUGGGCCAGUUCUGACGCUCAUCCGCGAAAGCGUGGGGAGCAAACAGGAUUAGAUACCCCCGUAGUCCCUGAGCGGGCUGGCAAGGCGCAU
rnacentral:rRNA from 1 species